GACAGAGGGUGCAAACGUUGUUCGGAAUUACUGGGCAUAAAGAGCACGUAGGUGGUGCGCUAAGUCACGUGUGAAAUCCCCCGGCUCAACCGGGGAAUGGCGCGUGAUACUGGCGGACUCGAGGCGGGUAGGGGUGAGCGGAACUCCAGGUGGAGCGGUGAAAUGCGUAGAUAUCUGGAGGAACACCGGUGGCGAAAGCGGCUCACUGGACCUGAUCUGACACUGAGGUGCGAAAGCCAGGGGAGCGAACGGG
rnacentral:rRNA from 1 species